rnacentral:rRNA from 1 species
CCUACGGGAGGCAGCAGUGGGGAAUAUUGGGCAAUGGGCGCAAGCCUGACCCAGCAAAGCCGCGUGAGGGAAGAAGGCUUUCGGGUUGUAAACUUCUUUUCUGAGGGACGAAGAAAGUGACGGUACCUCAGGAAUAAGCAACGGCUAACUACGUACCAGCAGCCGCGGUAAUACGUAGGUGGCAAGCGUAUCCGGAGUUAUUGGGGGUAAAGGGCGUGAAGGCGGGAAAGCAAGUCAGAUGUGAAAACUCAGGGCUCAACCCUGAGCCUGCAUUUGAAACUGUGUUUCUUGAGUGGGGGAGAGGCAAUCGGAAUUCCGGGUGUAGCGGUGAAAUGCGUAGAUAUACGGAGGAACACCAGUGGCGAAGGCGGAUUGCUGGACAGUAACUGACGCUGAGGCGCGAAAGCAUGGGGAGCAAACAGGAUUAGAUACCCCAGUAGUC